rnacentral:lncRNA from 1 species
GAGUUUGAGCUUUCAUCUUGACUAUAUCUAAACUUUUGUUUAAGAUACCUCUCCUGAACUGCAGGAAUCUUGGGGAAAGAGCGCUAAAUGCGAAUCCUACCCCUGGAUUCCCUUACAGUGAUUUCUACUGAAUUUUCCUCGAGACCAUGUCUCAAGGGAGGUUGAGGAAGGAGUUGUUGAAAGAGGAGGAUCAUUCUCAAUGACUCGUCUGUUUCAACCACAACUUCCCGAAAGAGGUACCGUAAGAUAGCCCGC